UUUUAUAAAUUGUUAAUAAAGUAUAUACCUACCUAAUGUUUAUCGAAAUACUUUAUCUUUCAAAUGCGUAACUCAAAAAGUAAACAGUUUAUAAUCUGAAACAGGUGCAGCGUGAUCAGUUUGAUAUAAAAAUUCGUCUCGAAACUCUCCAUUUCAUUCAAUCUUUUUACGAAAACGCAAACAUGAAGCCAAAUCCAGGUAUUGCUUGUUUGUUACUUAUCGUUUUUGUAAUCGGUGUUGUCACGAGUGAAGGUUACGUUAUACAACAAGAAAAAAUCUUAGAAAACAGAAUUGUUCCUCAGCCAAGACAUAUUAUAUUCGUGAAUUGUAAUGGUGGUGUUUUUAUCAGAGGACUAUGUCGAAAACGAUUAUUUCUACCCAUUAAUCAUUUGAAUUGAAAUAAAUUUUUCUUUACAAAAUCAUAUUUGUUUAUUUUAGUUUUGAUUACUUUAUGAUUAUUUUCUUGGAAAAAAUGUAAUUUAGUGUACUAAUAUGUUUAAACAAUAUUACAUUCCAAUCUUUAUCAGGUGUCUACCUUUAUCAGACGAUUGUCACAUUUAGUUAGUAUUCGACAAGGUAUAAUAUAAUAUCGAGUGUUAAAAAAAUGUCGUUCUGUAAAGCAAAAGUUUUAGUUUGUUUAUUAAUAGUAUUUUUAUCGAUCGCCGUAAAUAAAACUAAUAGUGAAUGGAUAACCUUUGAUACCUUUUUUAAACAUAAUCCUCCAAUAAACACGGCGAAUAUUAUUCAGGCCACGUGUUUGUCCGGAACUAUUCGAGAUCCCACUGGGAAAUGUAGACCAAUUUAUUAGAAGGUAUUAAUUAUAAUUAAGGAGAAGGCCGUGUUUCGAUAUCUUUAAACGAUUUCAAAUCGAAUCUGAUACAGAUCAGAAUCAUCUCUAACCUCAAAAAGAGGACAUGUAUUUUUAAGACUAU